UCCUUGGUAGCUCAGACGGUAAAGGGUCUGCCUGCAGUGCAGGAGAUCCGGGUUUGAACCCUGGGUUAGGAA
rnacentral:tRNA from 1 species